rnacentral:lncRNA from 1 species
UUCUAGAGUGUAUCAUCUCGUAUUAUUUUUGCGGACGUUAACCUUACACAUUCUCUCUCUUUCUUUAUCUCUUAUGUUACAAAUAGGAGUUGGUUGAAGUGUCAAAAAGGAAAAUUGAUAUGUUAACAAGAUAACUAACACUAUCAAAAGAUUGACCAUCAAGACACAAAUACGGAUACUCCAAAAUAUAGUGAUGUCAUCUUUUCCCGUCCACCGUUUUAUUGAAUGAACUCAUUUUAUAAAUAAAGUGGAUGACAUUUUAAAAAGAGACAGACCAUCUGGAAGAAAGUAAAAGAUUCAUCAAUUAUGAGAAA